rnacentral:tRNA from 1 species
GCGUAGCUCAGCCGGUAGAGCAUCUGACUUUUAAUCAGAGGGCCGAGGGUUCGAGUCCCUCCGCG